AUACGGAGGGGGCUAGCGUUGUUCGGAAUUACUGGGCGUAAAGCGCGCGUAGGCGGCUUAUCAAGUUAGGCGUGAAAGGCCUGGGCUCAACCCGGGAAUUGCGCUUAAUACUGGUAGACUUGAGUCCGGGAGAGGGUGGCGGAAUUCCCAGUGUAGAGGUGAAAUUCGUAGAUAUUGGGAAGAACACCAGUGGCGAAGGCGGCCACCUGGCCCGGUACUGACGCUGAGGUGCGAAAGCGUGGGGAGCAAACAGGAUUAGAAACCCCAGUAGUCC
rnacentral:rRNA from 1 species